AUGAACGCUGGCGGCGUGCCUAAUACAUGCAAGUCGAGCGAACGGACGAGAAGCUUGCUUCUCUGAUGUUAGCGGCGGACGGGUGAGUAACACGUGGAUAACCUACCUAUAAGACUGGGAUAACUUCGGGAAACCGGAGCUAAUACCGGAUGAUAUUUUGAACCGCAUGGUUCAAAAGUGAAAGACGGUCUUGCUGUCACUUAUAGAUGGAUCCGCGCUGCAUUAGCUAGUUGGUAAGGUAACGGCUUACCAAGGCAACGAUGCAUAGCCGACCUGAGAGGGUGAUCGGCCACACUGGAACUGAGACACGGUCCAGACUCCUACGGGAGGCAGCAGUAGGGAAUCUUCCGCAAUGGGCGAAAGCCUGACGGAGCAACGCCGCGUGAGUGAUGAAGGUCUUCGGGUCGUAAAACUCUGUUAUUAGGGAAGAACAUAUGUGUAAGUAACUGUGCACAUCUUGACGGUACCUAAUCAGAAAGCCACGGCUAACUACGUG
rnacentral:rRNA from 1 species